UACGUAGGCAGCGAGCGUUAUCCGGAUUCACUGGGUUUAAAGGGUGCGUAGGUGGGCAAGUAAGUCAGUGGUGAAAUCUCCGGGCUUAACCCGGAAACUGCCAUUGAUACUAUUUGUCUUGAAUACUGUGGAGGUCAGCGGAAUAUGUCAUGGUAGCGGUGAAAUGCUUAGAUAUGACAUAGAACACCAAUUGCGAAGGCAGCUGGCUACA
rnacentral:rRNA from 1 species